ensembl:snRNA U6 U6 spliceosomal RNA
UGGCUCACUUUGGAAGCACAUACAAUAAAAUUGGAAUGAUAAAGAGAAGAUUAGCAUGGCCCCUACCCAGGGAUGACAUGCAAACAAGCAGUGCUAUUCCGUGCAAUU